rnacentral:rRNA from 1 species
GAUGAACGCUAGCGGCAGGCUUAACACAUGCAAGUCGAGGGGUAGGAGGCUUUCGGGCUUCUGAGACCGGCGCACGGGUGCGUAACGCGUAUGCAAUCUGCCUUACACUAAGGGAUAGCCCAGAGAAAUUUGGAUUAAUACCUUAUAGUAUAUUGAUGUGGCAUCACAUUAUUAUUAAAGAUUUAUCGGUGUAAGAUGAG